CCUACGGGAGGCAGCAGUGAGGAAUUUUCCGCAAUGGGCUAACGCCUGACGGAGCAAUGCCGCGUGGAGGAGGAAGGCCUGUGGGUCGUAAACUCCUUUUCUCAGAGAAGAAGAUCUGACGGUAUCUGAGGAAUAAGCAUCGGCUAACUCUGUGCCAGCAGCCGCGGUAAUACAGGGGAUGCAAGCGUUAUCCGGAAUUAUUGGGCGUAAAGCGUCCUGAGGUGGCUUACCCAGUCGACUGUGAAAGCUCAAGGCUCAACCUUGAAACGGCAGUCGAAACUUGUAAGCUUGAGUACGGUAGAGGCAGAGGGAAUUCCCGGAGGAGAGGUGAAAUUCGUAGAUAUCGGGAGAAGGCCAAAGGCGAAAGCACUCUGCUGGGCCGAUUACUGACACUGACAGACGAAAGCUAGGGGAGCGAAAGGGAUUAGAUACCCCUGUAGUCCUAGCCGUAAACGAUGGAUACUAAGUGUUGUCGCGACUACACUACGUCGCAGUGCGUGCGAGACGUAACCGUACGGUAACGGUUAACGUACCCGUCCGUCGGGGUAGGUAGUGUCGUCGCGAAGAGUAGUAAACGUUAAAACGGUAAAGUUAGUACGGACGUGAGACGUGCCGACGGACGACGACGACGGGAGGUUAGG
rnacentral:rRNA from 1 species